AUUCCAAGAUGCCCUGGAGUAAUGGAAGAGCCACCUACGGAUGUUAAUUCUGGAAAAACUCCGUGCUCAGCUCCCAGUCACCCGCUGGCAGUGAUUAAUGCCGAUGCUAAUGAUCAUGUUGUGAUCAGUCAUUAAUGAUGGAUGUUAAUAUCUGUUUUGCAUAAAAGCUCCGUGUGAUGUCCUGAGCAUCUCGAGGAUCUCAAGUUGAAUCACGGCUUUAUUAAAAAAUGAUCUCUCUCCGGUCAGGUGAAAUGUUUGGCGUCUGAGGUCACCCCCAGGGGAAGGGCUGCUCCUGCUGGGGGCACCGAAGGACCCCCACAUCCCUGGCCACCCCUCCCUCCUGCUGGGGUGAAGGAGGGGAGAUUUAGGGGAGAUUCAUCCAAUUCUGGGUGUGGGGGGCACUUCCAUCUGACUCCUGGUGGCACCAAGCCCCUGUUCCCCCGCUCUUGAUGUUUGGCUACGUCACGUUUUGAACAGCUGGUCCUGCUCCCAAGAAUUCACGGUGAACUCACCGCUUCUCCAGGCAAGGUCACCCCGAGGUCAACGGUCCUGCUCCCUCCAAGCUUAAUUACUAAUUGGCUUCAGCUGUGUUAAUGAUCUUCAGCCAGGCACUAAUUGAUUGAAACUUGAUCCAGCUGGGCACGAGUGGAUCAUCAACAGUCCUACUCCUUCCAAGCUUAAUUACUAAUUGGCUUCAACUGUGUUAACGAUCUUCUGCCAGGCACUAAUUGGUGAUUGAAACUCGAUCCAGCUGGGCACGAGUGGAUUGGUCAACGGUCCUACUCCCUCCAAGCUUAAUUACUAAUUGGCUUCAGCUGUGUUAACCAUCUUGGGCCAAGCACUAAUUGAUUGACACUCGAUCCAGCUGGGCACAAGUGGCUCGGUCAACGGCCAGGGGGGCUUGGGAGGAUCUGAGGGACAUUCCGGAGCCUGCGGAUAACAGGAUUCGGUUUUGUUUUGGUUCCAAAAAUAGCAGCGGCUCUGAAAGCAGAAACACGUGGGGAAAACAUGAACGCACAGGUCAGGCUGGAAACCCGACCCGCCGACAUCUGCUGAGCCCAGGGCAAGGAUUUGCUUCCCUCAGGAAUUCACCCCAUGUGCUCCUCCCAGCCCUGCAGGCGUUUUCCAUGGAUUUCAUGUUUCCUUGGCAUUCCUCCGGCUCCAGGGAUUAAAUUACGGUAGCAAACCCACAAGAAAACAGAGAUGCCACCAGACCAGCACGGAAUCCCAGAGAAACAAGGUCCCAGAGCGCCAAAUCCAACCUGUGCCUGAUGCCCAGCUCAGGGCACUGAGUGCCACCUCCAGGCU
rnacentral:lncRNA from 1 species